GUGUGACUGCGUACCUUUUGUAUAAUGGGUCAGCGACUUAUAUUCUGUAGCAAGGUUAACCGAAUAGGGGAGCCGAAGGGAAACCGAGUCUUAACUGGGCGUUAAGUUGCAGGGUAUAGACCCGAAACCCGGUGAUCUAGCCAUGGGCAGGUUGAAGGUUGGGUAACACUAACUGGAGGACCGAACCGACUAAUGUUGAAAAAUUAGCGGAUGACUUGUGGCUGGGGGUGAAAGGCCAAUCAAACCGGGAGAUAGCUGGUUCUCCCCGAAAGCUAUUUAGGUAGCGCCUCGUGAAUUCAUCUCCGGGGGUAGAGCACUGUUUCGGCAAGGGGGUCAUCCCGACUUACCAACCCGAUGCAAACUGCGAAUACCGGAGAAUGUUAUCACGGGAGACACACGGCGGGUGCUAACGUCCGUCGUGAAGAGGGAAACAACCCAGACCGCCAGCUAAGGUCCCAAAGUCAUGGUUAAGUGGGAAACGAUGUGGGAAGGCCCAGACAGCCAGGAUGUUGGCUUAGAAGCAGCCAUCAUUUAAAGAAAGCGUAAUAGCUCACUGGUCGAGUCGGCCUGCGCGGAAGAUGUAACGGGGCUAAACCAUGCACCGAAGCUGCGGCAGCGACGCUGAUGCGUUGUUGGGUAGGGGAGCGUUCUGUAAGCCUGCGAAGGUGUACUGUGAGGUAUGCUGGAGGUAUCAGAAGUGCGAAUGCUGACAUAAGUAACGAUAAAGCGGGUGAAAAGCCCGCUCGCCGGAAGACCAAGGGUUCCUGUCCAACGUUAAUCGGGGCAGGGUGAGUCGACCCCUAAGGCGAGGCCGAAAGGCGUAGUCGAUGGGAAACAGGUUAAUAUUCCUGUACUUGGUGUUACUGCGAAGGGGGGACGGAGAAGGCUAUGUUGGCCGGGCGACGGUUGUCCCGGUUUAAGCGUGUAGGCUGGUUUUCCAGGCAAAUCCGGAAAAUCAAGGCUGAGGCGUGAUGACGAGGCACUACGGUGCUGAAGCAACAAAUGCCCUGCUUCCAGGAAAAGCCUCUAAGCAUCAGGUAACAUCAAAUCGUACCCCAAACCGACACAGGUGGUCAGGUAGAGAAUACCAAGGCGCUUGAGAGAACUCGGGUGAAGGAACUAGGCAAAAUGGUGCCGUAACUUCGGGAGAAGGCACGCUGAUAUGUAGGUGAAGUCCCUCGCGGAUGGAGCUGAAAUCAGUCGAAGAUACCAGCUGGCUGCAACUGUUUAUUAAAAACACAGCACUGUGCAAACACGAAAGUGGACGUAUACGGUGUGACGCCUGCCCGGUGCCGGAAGGUUAAUUGAUGGGGUCAGCGCAAGCGAAGCUCUUGAUCGAAGCCCCGGUAAACGGCGGCCGUAACUAUAACGGUCCUAAGGUAGCGAAAUUCCUUGUCGGGUAAGUUCCGACCUGCACGAAUGGCGUAAUGAUGGCCAGGCUGUCUCCACCCGAGACUCAGUGAAAUUGAACUCGCUGUGAAGAUGCAGUGUACCCGCGGCAAGACGGAAAGACCCCGUGAACCUUUACUAUAGCUUGACACUGAACAUUGAGCCUUGAUGUGUAGGAUAGGUGGGAGGCUUUGAAGUGUGGACGCCAGUCUGCAUGGAGCCGACCUUGAAAUACCACCCUUUAAUGUUUGAUGUUCUAACGUUGACCCGUAAUCCGGGUUGCGGACAGUGUCUGGUGGGUAGUUUGACUGGGGCGGUCUCCUCCUAAAGAGUAACGGAGGAGCACGAAGGUUGGCUAAUCCUGGUCGGACAUCAGGAGGUUAGUGCAAUGGCAUAAGCCAGCUUGACUGCGAGCGUGACGGCGCGAGCAGGUGCGAAAGCAGGUCAUAGUGAUCCGGUGGUUCUGAAUGGAAGGGCCAUCGCUCAACGGAUAAAAGGUACUCCGGGGAUAACAGGCUGAUACCGCCCAAGAGUUCAUAUCGACGGCGGUGUUUGGCACCUCGAUGUCGGCUCAUCACAUCCUGGGGCUGAAGUAGGUCCCAAGGGUAUGGCUGUUCGCCAUUUAAAGUGGUACGCGAGCUGGGUUUAGAACGUCGUGAGACAGUUCGGUCCCUAUCUGCCGUGGGCGCUGGAGAACUGAGGGGGGCUGCUCCUAGUACGAGAGGACCGGAGUGGACGCAUCACUGGUGUUCGGGUUGUCAUGCCAAUGGCACUGCCCGGUAGCUAAAUGCGGAAGAGAUAAGUGCUGAAAGCAUCUAAGCACGAAACUUGCCCCGAGAUGAGUUCUCCCUGACUCCUUGAGAGUCCUGAAGGAACGUUGAAGACGACGACGUUGAUAGGCCGGGUGUGUAAGCGCAGCGAUGCGUUGAGCUAACCGGUACUAAUGAACCGUGAGGCUUAAC
rnacentral:rRNA from 1 species